UACAGGGGGGUGCAAACGUUGCUCGGAAUCAUUGGGCGUAAAGCGCACGUAGGCGGUUCGUUAUGUCGGAUGUGAAAGCCCUUGGCUUAACCGAGGAAGUGCAUCCGAAACUGGCGAACUAGAGUACUAAAGAGGAUCGCGGAAUUCCCGGUGUAGAGGUGAAAUUCGUAGAUAUCGGGAGGAACACCGGUGGCGAAGGCGGCAUCUGGGUAGAUACUGACGCUGAGGUGCGAAAGCGUGGGGGAGCAAACAGG
rnacentral:rRNA from 1 species